GAUGAACGCUAGCUACAGGCUUAACACAUGCAAGUCGAGGGGCAGCAUGAACUUAGCUUGCUAAGUUUGAUGGCGACCGGCGCACGGGUGAGUAACACGUAUCCAACCUGCCGAUGACUCGGGGAUAGCCUUUCGAAAGAAAGAUUAAUACCCGAUGGCAUAGUUCUUCCGCAUGGUAGAACUAUUAAAGAAUUUCGGUCAUCGAUGGGGAUGCGUUCCAUUAGCUUGUUGGCGGGGUAACGGCCCACCAAGGCGACGAUGCGUAGGGGUUCUGAGAGGAAGGUCCCCCACACUGGUACUGAGACACGGACCAG
rnacentral:rRNA from 1 species